rnacentral:rRNA from 1 species
GACGAACCGUGCGAACGUUGUUCGGAAUCACUGGGCUUAAAGGGCGCGUAGGCGGCUUUAUAAGUCGGGGGUGAAAGCCUGUGGCUCAACCACAGAAUUGCCUUCGAUACUGUAGGGCUUGAGACCGGAAGAGGUAAGUGGAACUGCGAGUGUAGAGGUGAAAUUCGUAGAUAUUCGCAAGAACACCAGUGGCGAAGGCGGCUUACUGGUCCGAUUCUGACGCUGAGGCGCGAAAGCGUGGGGAGCAAACAGG